GAUGAACGCUGGCGGCGUGCCUAAUACAUGCCAGUCGAGCGAACAGACGAGGAGCUUGCUCCUCUAACGUUAGCGGCGGACGGGUGAGUAACACGUGGAUAACCUACCUAUAAGACUGGGAUAACUUCGGGAAACCGGAGCUAAUACCGGAUAAUAUAUUGAACCGCAUGGUUCAAUAGUGAAAGACGGUUUUGCUGUCACUUAUAGAUGGAUCCGCGCCGCAUUAGCUAGUUGGUAAGGUAACAGCUUACCAAGGCAACGAUGCGUAGCCGGCCUGAGAGGGUGAUCGGCCACACUGGAACUGAGACACGGUCCAGACUCCUACGGGAGGCAGCAGUAGGGAAUCUUCCGCAAUGGGCGAAAGCCUGACGGAGCAACGCCGCGUGAGUGAUGAAGGUCUUCGGAUCGUAAAACUCUGUUAUUAGGGAAGAACAAAUGUGUAAGUAACUAUGCACGUCUUGACGGUACCUAAUCAGAAAGCCACGGCUAACUACGUG
rnacentral:rRNA from 1 species